rnacentral:lncRNA from 1 species
UAUUUUAUAUAUGAGCCAUUGAGUUGGUUGUACCUUGAAAUAAGGUACACAUCUUCAUUAAGCUUAAAGAAGUCUUUUUGGUAGUUAAAUAUCUACUUUCUUCAGGCAAUUGAAAUCGGUCAUAUCCAAAAUAUAAAUUUUUAAUAGAAUAGAUGGCAUGACUUACAAAUUGCUUAAUUAUAAAUCAUAAAUCAAAUCCUUAUAAAAUCCUAAAUCCUAAACCAAAUCCUAAAUAAAUCUUAAAUCUUAAAUCAAAUCCUAAACCAAAUUCUAAACAAAUCCUAACCAAAUCUUAAAGUCUAAAUCAAAUUCCAAUCAAAACUUAAAUCCUAAAUCAAAUCCUAACCAAUCUUAAAUCUUUUAAAUCAAACCCUACAUAAAUCCUAACCAAACCAUAAACAAAUUCUAAAUCCAAAAUCCAAAAUUCUAAAACCUCAAACUCUAACCAAAUCCUAAAUCCUAAACCAAAUCCUAAUCAAAUAAUAAAUCUCUAGUCAAAUCCUAACCUUGAUAUUUUUUUUAUUAGACCAUUGUUCUUAUUUAAAAUUUUAUACACCUCUCAACUUCUUAGUUAUAAAUAAGUACAAAAACUUUGAAGACAAUUCCACUUAUUAAAUGAAAGAAAAAUCCUAAAUCUACUCGGAUUUUGGCUGGCCUCCUCCUCCAACCUUAAUAUUGAUCUUCUAGUACUUAUAUCUCUCUUUUGUAUUAUUAAAUUGAUAUCAAAUUUCUUGUAUAUGUAUAAAAAAAAAAAAAAAAAAAAAAAAAAAUCUACUAUCCAUAUACAUAACUUUCACUCCAAUCCAAAUGGUAGAUUAUAAGAAAUCUUAGAAACCCUCACUAGACCUAAAAUUCUAC